GGCCCGGUAGCGGAUGGUCCGCACCUGUGCGCAAUCAGAAAUGAUGGAAUAGAUUCUGCAGGAGAGCUCGUUCGAACCGAGCCUGGGCCC